AACCUAAUUCCUGAGCUUACGCCACUCACUCGUCUCAGCUUAUUGCAGCCGUCGGUAACGGAAGAGCAAAGAGAAGAAAAGCAAAUCAAUCAUGGGAAAGGUUCAUGGAUCUUUGGCUCGUGCCGGUAAGGUUAGAGGACAAACACCCAAGGUUGCCAAGCAAGAUAAGAAGAAGAAGCCUAGAGGUCGUGCUCACAAGCGUAUGCAGCACAACCGUCGUUUCGUCACCGCCGUUGUUGGUUUCGGAAAGAAGAGAGGACCUAACUCUUCUGAGAAAUAGAUUGGUAGUGAAGCUUGAAAAAAAUAUGCAAGAGAUGUUUUCGUGAAGCUUGUCUUUCACUGAACUUGUAUGUUUUUGGUAGAGAAGCUGGGAAAAUCUAUUUUGUAACUUUGGGAAUCUUUGUUCUUCGUUUAAUUUCUUUUGGCACUGAAAUAUUAUGUUUUGAUUCUAUGAAUUACAGUUCUUUUUAGUUAUUGUUUUGGUCACAAA